UUAAGUUAUUAAGGGCGCACGGUGGAUGCCUUGGCACUAGAAGCCGAUGAAGGACGUUACUAACGACGAUAUGCUUUGGGGAGCUGUAAGUAAGCUUUGAUCCAGAGAUUUCCGAAUGGGGAAACCCAGCAUGAGUUAUGUCAUGUUAUCGAUAUGUGAAUACAUAGCAUAUCAGAAGGCACACCCGGAGAACUGAAACAUCUUAGUACCCGGAGGAAGAGAAAGAAAAUUCGAUUCCCUUAGUAGCGGCGAGCGAAACGGGAAGAGCCCAAACCAACAAGCUUGCUUGUUGGGGUUGUAGGACACUCUAUACGGAGUUACAAAGGACGACAUUAGACGAAUCAGCUGGAAAGAUGAAUCAAAGAAGGUAAUAAUCCUGUAGUCGAAAAUGUUGUCUCUCUUGAGUGGAUCCUGAGUACGACGGAGCACGUGAAAUUCCGUCGGAAUCUGGGAGGACCAUCUCCUAAGGCUAAAUACUCUCUAGUGACCGAUAGUGAACCAGUACCGUGAGGGAAAGGUGAAAAGCACCCCGGAAGGGGAGUGAAAUAGAACCUGAAACCGUGUGCUUACAAGUAGUCAGAGCCCGUUAAUGGGUGAUGGCGUGCCUUUUGUAGAAUGAACCGGCGAGUUACGAUUUGAUGCAAGGUUAAGCAGUAAAUGUGGAGCCGUAGCGAAAGCGAGUCUGAAUAGGGCGUUUAGUAUUUGGUCGUAGACCCGAAACCAGGUGAUCUACCCUUGGUCAGGUUGAAGUUCAGGUAACACUGAAUGGAGGACCGAACCGACUUACGUUGAAAAGUGAGCGGAUGAACUGAGGGUAGCGGAGAAAUUCCAAUCGAACCUGGAGAUAGCUGGUUCUCUCCGAAAUAGCUUUAGGGCUAGCCUCAAGUGAUGAUUAUUGGAGGUAGAGCACUGUUUGGACGAGGGGCCCCUCUCGGGUUACCGAAUUCAGACAAACUCCGAAUGCCAAUUAAUUUAACUUGGGAGUCAGAACAUGGGUGAUAAGGUCCGUGUUCGAAAGGGAAACAGCCCAGACCACCAGCUAAGGUCCCAAAAUAUAUGUUAAGUGGAAAAGGAUGUGGCGUUGCCCAGACAACUAGGAUGAUGGCUUAGAGGCAGCCAUCAUUUAAAGAGUGCGUAAUAGCUCACUAGUCGAGUGACACUGCGCCGAAAAUGUACCGGGGCUAAACAUAUUACCGAAGCUGUGGAUUGUCCUUUGGACAAUGGUAGGAGAGCGUUCUAAGGGCGUUGAAGCAUGAUCGUAAGGACAUGUGGAGCGCUUAGAAGUGAGAAUGCCGGUGUGAGUAGCGAAAGACGGGUGAGAAUCCCGUCCACCGAUUGACUAAGGUUUCCAGAGGAAGGCUCGUCCGCUCUGGGUUAGUCGGGUCCUAAGCUGAGGCCGACAGGCGUAGGCGAUGGAUAACAGGUUGAUAUUCCUGUACCACCUAUAAUCGUUUUAAUCGAUGGGGGGACGCAGUAGGAUAGGCGAAGCGUGCGAUUGGAUUGCACGUCUAAGCAGUAAGGCUGAGUAUUAGGCAAAUCCGGUACUCGUUAAGGCUGAGCUGUGAUGGGGAGAAGACAUUGUGUCUUCGAGUCGUUGAUUUCACACUGCCGAGAAAAGCCUCUAGAUAGAAAAUAGGUGCCCGUACCGCAAACCGACACAGGUAGUCAAGAUGAGAAUUCUAAGGUGAGCGAGCGAACUCUCGUUAAGGAACUCGGCAAAAUGACCCCGUAACUUCGGGAGAAGGGGUGCUCUUUAGGGUUAACGCCCAGAAGAGCCGCAGUGAAUAGGCCCAAGCGACUGUUUAUCAAAAACACAGGUCUCUGCUAAACCGUAAGGUGAUGUAUAGGGGCUGACGCCUGCCCGGUGCUGGAAGGUUAAGAGGAGUGGUUAGCUUCUGCGAAGCUACGAAUCGAAGCCCCAGUAAACGGCGGCCGUAACUAUAACGGUCCUAAGGUAGCGAAAUUCCUUGUCGGGUAAGUUCCGACCCGCACGAAAGGCGUAACGAUUUGGGCACUGUCUCAACGAGAGACUCGGUGAAAUCAUAGUACCUGUGAAGAUGCAGGUUACCCGCGACAGGACGGAAAGACCCCGUGGAGCUUUACUGUAGCCUGAUAUUGAAAUUCGGCACAGCUUGUACAGGAUAGGUAGGAGCCUUUGAAACGUGAGCGCUAGCUUACGUGGAGGCGCUGGUGGGAUACUACCCUAGCUGUGUUGGCUUUCUAACCCGCACCACUUAUCGUGGUGGGAGACAGUGUCAGGCGGGCAGUUUGACUGGGGCGGUCGCCUCCUAAAAGGUAACGGAGGCGCUCAAAGGUUCCCUCAGAAUGGUUGGAAAUCAUUCAUAGAGUGUAAAGGCAUAAGGGAGCUUGACUGCGAGACCUACAAGUCGAGCAGGGUCGAAAGACGGACUUAGUGAUCCGGUGGGUCCGCAUGGAAGGGCCAUCGCUCAACGGAUAAAAGCUACCCCGGGGAUAACAGGCUUAUCUCCCCCAAGAGUUCACAUCGACGGGGAGGUUUGGCACCUCGAUGUCGGCUCAUCGCAUCCUGGGGCUGUAGUCGGUCCCAAGGGUUGGGCUGUUCGCCCAUUAAAGCGGUACGCGAGCUGGGUUCAGAACGUCGUGAGACAGUUCGGUCCCUAUCCGUCGUGGGCGUAGGAAAUUUGAGAGGAGCUGUCCUUAGUACGAGAGGACCGGGAUGGACAUACCUCUGGUGUACCAGUUGUCGUGCCAACGGCAUAGCUGGGUAGCUAUGUGUGGACGGGAUAAGUGCUGAAAGCAUCUAAGCAUGAAGCCCCCCUCAAGAUGAGAUUUCCCAACUUCGGUUAUAAGAUCCCUCAAAGAUGAUGAGGUUAAUAGGUUCGAGGUGGAAGCAUGGUGACAUGUGGAGCUGACGAAUACUAAUCGAUCGAAGACUUAAUCAA
rnacentral:rRNA from 1 species